GUCACUCCCGCGCCGCACGGCUCGGGCUGCGGCCAGCCGGCACGGACGUUCUUCUCACAGCUGCCUUCAGCCGAGUGGCUGCCACCAAGUUCCUGAGAAAUGACUCACAGGAGACUGCUAACUCGGGGAAGUCUGCUGCCUGCUUUGGAUGUCGCAAGGCUGAUGCGCUAAGAGGCCAGCAGAUCGUACCUGGACUCGAGAGCCCUCCCAAGUGCACAUCUCGUGGGCUCGCGAGCUCGCUCCGCGCGACUGUCAGGGACUGGCUGCCUGCUGGCUCGCUCCGAGGAGAAAUCAGAGCGGCGCGGAGGAUCCUGGCAGAGCAAGCUGGACUGGUGCCAACUUAGCCCUGAGAACCGUGCCACGCCCCCUGGACACCCUCAGUAAGCAUUUGGACGGCCUGACUCCGAGAACACGGAAUCUCCAAGGUCACAGCCUUGGUCUGCGUCAUUCUUGUUUACAGGAUAAAAAUUGUUGGUCUGGAAA